rnacentral:rRNA from 1 species
GACGAACGCUGGCGGCGUGCCUAAUACAUGCAAGUAGGACGCACAGUCUAUACCGUAGCUUGCUACACCAUAGACUGUGAGUUGCGAACGGGUGAGUAACGCGUAGGUAACCUGCCUAUUAGAGGGGGAUAACUAUUGGAAACGAUAGCUAAUACCGCAUAACAGUAUGUAACACAUGUUAGAUGCUUGAAAGAUGCAAUUGCAUCGCUAGUAGAUGGGCCUGCGUUGUGUUAGCUAGUAGGUAGGGUAAUGGCCUACCUAGGCGACGAUACAUAGCCGACCUGAGAGGGUGAUCGGCCACACUGGGACUGAGACACGGCCCAGACUCCUACGGGAGGCAGCAGUAGGGAAUCUUCGGCAAUGGGGGGAACCCUGACCGAGCAACGCCGCGUGAGUGAAGAAGGUUUUCGGAUCGUAAAGCUCUGUUGUUAAGGAAGAACGAGUGUGAGAAUGGAAAGUUCAUACUGUGACGGUACUUAACCAGAAAGGGACGGCUAACUACGUGCCAGCAGCCGCGGUAAUACGUAGGUCCCGAGCGUUGUCCGGAUUUAUUGGGCGUAAAGCGAGCGCAGGCGGUUAGAAAAGUCUGAAGUGAAAGGCAGUGGCUCAACCAUUGUAGGCUUUGGAAACUGUUUAACUUGAGUGCAGAAGGGGAGAGUGGAAUUCCAUGUGUAGCGGUGAAAUGCGUAGAUAUAUGGAGGAACACCGGUGGCGAAAGCGGCUCUCUGGUCUGUAACUGACGCUGAGGCUCGAAAGCGUGGGGAGCGAACAGG